UCUCCGUUGGUGAACCAGCGGAGGGAUCAUUACCGAAGUUACCUUCAAAACCCACUGUGAACCUUACCUCUUGCCGCGUUGUCUCGGCGGGAGGCGGUGUGCGUCGCGCGCCCUAGCGGGCCGCGCCGCUCCCGUCCCCGCCGGCAGCGCCAAACUCUAAAUGCACAGCGGACUGUACGUUCUGAUUUACAAAAAAAACAAGUUAAAACUUUCAGCAACGGAUCUCUUGGUUCUG
rnacentral:misc_RNA from 1 species